rnacentral:rRNA from 1 species
AUUGAACGCUGGCGGCAUGCCUUACACAUGCAAGUCGAACGGCAGCGGGGGAGAAGCUUGCUUUUCCUGCCGGCGAGUGGCGAACGGGUGAGUAAUACAUCGGAACGUGCCCUGUAGUGGGGGAUAACUAGUCGAAAGAUUAGCUAAUACCGCAUACGACCUGAGGGUGAAAGUGGGGGACCGCAAGGCCUCAUGCUAUAGGAGCGACCGAGGUCUGAUUAGCUAGUUGGUGGGGUAAAGGCCUACCAAGGCGACGAUGAGUAGAUGGUCUGAGAGGACGAUCAGCCACACUGGGACUGAGACACGGCCCAGACUCCUACGGGAGGCAGCAGUGGGGAAUUUUGGACAAUGGGCGAAAGCCUGAUCCAGCAAUGCCGCGUGUGUGAAGAAGGCCUUCGGGUUGUAAAGCACUUUUGUCCGGAAAGAAAUGGCUCUGGUUAAUACCUGGGGUCGAUGACGGUACCGGAAGAAUAAGGACCGGCUAACUACGUGCCAGCAGCCGCCGUAA